GGGACAUCCAGACAGCUGAGACAUUAGGCCCCGAUGAGAGCCCCAGCCGUCCACACUAAUCCAUCUCGAUACUCCGCUUCCCAAAUGCCGUAACCGAUAACUGGAAUUUCACGGAUCGGUCACUCCCUGCUCACCUCAGAUCCUCUAUGUCGUAAUAAAAUAAUAGCAGCUAAAAUGAAACACUAAGCAGUUCCUACAAAUUUCUGUAUAAAUCGAUCAAUAAUCUUGACGACUCUAAUAUGCCUUUUAAAAACAAUAUGGACAUUAGCACUAUUUAGCUUUGCGUUGCCUUUUCCCCUAAGACUGUCUUAGCAGACAAUAUUUCCAGACUAAUUUUUAGACUAGUUAGUACAUGUUUUCAAAGCAGACAUUCUUCGUCAUCUGGCUUGAAAAGAAGAGAGACAAGAUCCCUCCCUUCAGCGAGGGACAUGAUGAUUAGCCUGAUCACCUGCAACAGAUACAUCCUGUGUCUGCGCUCCGGGCACGGAGCCAGCGACCGAUUGGCUGGUUAGCAGUGGGGCGGAACAGGGCCGAGUGACAGCUUGAAGGACACACUGGGUGUGAGCCCCCCUCGACACAUCGAAGAGGAACUGGACUGUACUUCCUUUAGCUGCCCGUAUAGCUUUACACAAGCGGAAGAGACUUUGGCAGGAAAUUUACAUAUAUUCCUGUGGAUUCACGAAUGGACAUAUUUAUUUCCUACUCGUAUGUUUGUGUAGACAAAGUAGUGCAGUAAAACAUAAAACAAUGUGUAAAUCCACGAAAGAGAAAAACAGGUGGAAACAAGUGGCCUCAUUUAAGUGUUUACUAAUGAAGAAUCCUGGAAACACAUACGUAUUUUUUCAAAAAUACAAUAAACAUAGCCUAAACAUAAUGCUUACCAAAAUACUCAGUUUCAAGAGAGCUACAAAACUUAGUGACCGCCCAUUUUCUAAACUAAGACAUUUCUAACAAGCAUUACUUCAUCACAGCCAGGUGUUGUAAGAAAGAAUGAACUGUUGAUCAUUGGUAGGCAACAAAUGGUACUUCACUCUCUUUACAUGGCUGCCAACUAGACAUGAAGAAGAAUAUUUAUGCAAUAGCAACUAUUCUAAAUGACACCUAUUAAGCUCUCACAAUCAGUGAGAUUUAUUUGUUUAUUUUUACAGGACGCUACCUAACUAGCUGUUCAGGAAUGACCCAAACGGAUGCCAGAAGAAGAAACUUGCCGUUAAGCCAUCGGGAUAUUCAAUAUUUCUGCGUUGAGGACGGCAGUACACUGUUAGCGCAGCUUGACAUAAACAUGGGGAGGACCAGCAGAUGGGCUGACUGGUGACUAUGGCACUCCCGAGGUCAGAUUGUACUGGGAUAUGUCACGACCUGCCCAAACACACCUGCUCGCGCCGCCGUCUCCACUCACUGCCACUUUCCACUUAUAUCAUCUCAGUUCCUUUUGCUUCCACGCAUGAGUUGAACUUGGCUAGCGUGAAAAAAUGUAAACGGCCUUUUUCUCCGUGCAUUUUCCACCUUUGAAGUCUGAAGUGUGAUUGUUUUUGGGCCGCUGCCGGUUUCUGUCGAAGGCCCUGACAUGAAAAAGCAGCCUGUGCUCUCAAGUUUAGCUCAUUGCCAGUGAUCCAGGACUAAA